GGGUUAGAGCUCUGUGCUUUAAGGGUAGUAGACUGAGGGUUGGGUUAGAGCUCUGUGCUUUAAGGGUAGUAGACUGAGGGUUGGGUUAGAGCUCUGUGCUUUAAGGGUAGUAGACUGAGGGUUGGGUUAGAGCUCUGUGCUUUAAGGGUAGUAGACUGAGGGUUGGGUUAGAGCUCUGUGCUUUAAGGGUAGUAGACUGAGGGUUGGGUUAGAGCUCUGUGCUUUAAGGGUAGUAGACUGAGGGUUGGGUUAGAGCUCUGUGCUUUAAGGGUAGUAGACUGAGGGUUGGGUUAGAGCUCUGUGCUUUAAGGGUAGUAGACUGAGGGUUGGGUUAGAGCUCUGUGCUUUAAGGGUAGUAGACUGAGGGUUGGGUUAGAGCUCUGUGCUUUAAGGGUAGUAGACUGAGGGUUGGGUUAGAGCUCUGUGCUUUAAGGGUAGUAGACUGAGGGUUGGGUUAGAGCUCUGUGCUUUAAGGGUAGUAGACUGAGGGUUGGGUUAGAGCUCUGUGCUUUAAGGGUAGUAGACUGAGGGUUGGGUUAGAGCUCUGUGCUUUAAGGGUAGUAGACUGAGGGUUGGGUUAGAGCUCUGUGCUUUAAGGGUAGUAGACUGAGGGUUGGGUUAGAGCUCUGUGCUUUAAGGGCAGUAGACUGAGGAUUGGGUUAGAGCUCUGUGCUUUAAGGGUAGUAGACUGAGGAUUGGGUUAGAGCUCUGUGCUUUAAGGGUAGUAGACCGAGGGUUGGGUUAGAGCUCUGUGCUUUAAGGGUAGUAGACUGAGGGUUGGGUUAGAGCUCUGUGCUUUAAGGGUAGUAGACCGAGGGUUGGGUUAGAGCUCUGUGCUUUAAGGGUAGUAGACUGAGGGUUGGGUUAGUGCUUUAAGGGUAGUAGACUGAGGGUUUCUAAAUGGGAAAGUUAAACGGCCAAUAUUUGGCAGUGGACAGUCGAGACACGCAGGAUUCAUUUGAGACUUUUGAACAUGGCCGAGUUAUGACAAUUUACUGACCUCGUCCCUUUAUUUGCUGUCAUCAUUCUCCCCCCUCCUUCCACAUUCAUACAUUCCUAUUCAGAAUGACUAAUUUACUU